UACGUAGGUGGCAAGCGUUAUCCGGAAUUAUUGGGCGUAAAGCGCGCGCAGGCGGUUUCUUAAGUCUGAUGUGAAAGCCCACGGCUCAACCGUGGAGGGUCAUUGGAAACUGGGGAACUUGAGUGCAGGAGAGAAGAGUGGAAUUCCACGUGUAGCGGUGAAAUGCGUAGAGAUGUGGAGGAACACCAGUGGCGAAGGCGACUCUUUGGCCUGUAACUGACACUGAGGCGCGAAAGCGUGGGGAGCAAACAGG
rnacentral:rRNA from 1 species